CACCGGUCGGAGCACAUCUGGGAUGAGAAUUUCCACCAGGGCCUGGUACAAGAUGUGAUCGCAGCUUCUCAUCCACUUGAGGAUAGAAAUAAGCCAUCUAAAUCUGUGCUGGGAUGACUGCACACCUUGUCUGCAUCAUGGUUUUGGACACAGGUUCUGUUCCCACUUGUGACAGAGAACUUUCCUGGACCCAAAGGGAGGAACCACUGCCCUGCAGCAGAACGCUGGGCUCUGCAGCUGACAGUGGCAAUCACGAUCAAGAGGGACUUCAUCUUUGUGAGACAGUAAUGGAAUGACAAGCAGCCUGGAAUCAAAUAAAAUAUUCUUAGACUCCUUUGGAAAUGGGGUUAGAUCAAAUUCAGAUGUGUGACUGGACAAUGUGUUGUCACCAGAGCCCCAGAACAUGUCUGAAAUUAACCUUAUUGUCAAACUUCUCAUGCUGCUGAUUCACGUUCAGAAAGUAGCUUUGCUUCACAGAACACGGAAAUUACUUCUGUGCUUUAGAAUAGCAAUUUUUUUUUCCACAACACAACGCUUGGUAAUUUCUAUACGUCUCAGAAGAAAGACCUGUGCCUGCUAAAUUACACUUCGUAGAUUUUCAGUGCAUAUGAGAGAAAUUGCAGAUCAUGCAAGAACAGUGCAAUGAUUUUUUUUUCUGCAAAAUGCGAGGCCACGGGUUCUGUUCUUGAAAGCAAACCACAGCUCCUGAAAUUAGCAGCUGUAUUAAUGUUUGCUUUUAAUUAACCCCUUCUACAGGGAGCAGUACAGCACUCUGGCAGCCACGUACACGGUAGGGGAAGGCAAGAUGUAGCUGAGUUCAGGAGCCUGCCACUCCUCACCUCUGACAACCCAGCCAGCAUCCCUUGCCUGCUUGAACCUUGCUACCGAAAGCACAUUGAGAACAUCUCCAGCUCAUCCGCUGCUUGCAGGACAGCGUUUAAUGCAGUGCAAGAUAACACUGGACUUGACUGGGGUCCCUGGAGCAACACUGCUUCCCGGCUCUUUCAGAAGUAAUGGCACAAGCAGCAGGAAAGGGGAAGCAAGCUGCUUCCCUGUUCACCACUCCAUACCAACCUGGUUCCCAGGCGGCGAGUCCUCAGCCCCAUGAAUACCGACCGGAUGAGUUUUCCGAAGGAAGCGGCGUUCACCGGGUCCAGUUUGUGCUCCUGGCAGUGCCGCAGGUAGUGGUUGUACAGAGAGCUCCUGGGAAGGCUAACGCCUUCCGCUGUCUCAUAGUUGUCCAACAACCACUGGAGCUUUAGGCAUGGAAGACAUAAAUAAAGAAAGAAUAUGAGAAAGUCUAAAGAGGACCGGAACAGGCUACAUAAAACAACACGGAUGCUUAAUGUCAGGAGCACGUAUCUGACAUCAGGAGUUCAAGAGAACUUAACACUGUGUAGUUCAUUCAUAUCAGUGAUAUUUAUGCCAGCUGCAUUUUUAAAAGAGUAAAAGGACACUGACCAAAGCUAAUAACCCAAACAAAAAUGUUAUCAGAUUUUGCAAUAGCACAAAAAUCUGUCUGCCAUCACAGUGUCCAUCUUGCAUUUGGAUUAACUUAUGUGGGGCCAAAAUAAAGCUGUAAGAACUCAUGUUUUCCAGGAAUGAAGAUGUUAAAAUACUACCUAGGAUGAAUAAAUUUUAGGGGAAAUAAAUAUGCUGCAAAGUUUUUAUUAAUUUGAAGAUUGGCGUAUUUGCAGCUGUUCUCCUACCAAUGAAUGGUUAACAAAUGAAAUUUGACAAUCUGAGGGGAUUCUGUUUAUUAUUUUUAACAAAAUUAUUGUCUGAACUUCCUCUGACAUUUCUGUUGAUUAAAGUUUGAAAUUAGAUAUAAAUUAUUUAUAUCCAGACAGUCUUGAGAGAGCAGGUCAGGCACAAAAUGGCAGCACAGGAAUUAAAAUACAAAAAGACAAAAACCCAAUCUCCUUUAAUUGGCUAAACGACACUUCCAGUAUCAAUAAAAUAAGUGUUGUAUUAAGUGAACUUUUGAAGGAACUAGAUUUACAAAUGGAUUAAAAUCAAUAGCUUUGGUAGGAGUCCUUUCACCGUCAUCAAGGACGUUUGGGAUUAACAUUUUUAAGACCUCUCUACAUCCAGACCUCUACACAUGUACGCAUGUACAGGAGGUGUAGCUCCACCGGAUGCAGCUGCAUUCACACCGGAUUAGUGGCAAAAUAAAGUCGGGUUAUGGAUGUCAAAAUAUUGUCUGCAUCAUCUCCUUACAACAAAUAAUUCAAGCAUAUAUUGUAGUUAAGCAUAAACUCAGAAAUUGGUCUAGAAAUCAGUGGGAUUUAACCAUAUACCUGGAUGUAAAAGUUGGCCUGUGCUUAAAUCCUCCCCACUCGUACUGCAUUAACUGGCUUUUUUCUAUUAAUCUUCCCUUGGUGAAACUUUAGGGUCCCAAUUCACCACUAUAUACCUUGAGUUUUAUAUCAGUAACUCUGUGAAAAUACAACCCGCAACAUGCAAUGGCAUCUCUGACACCUCACUCAGCUGAGUUAUUUUCAGUUUCUGUAGUUCACAUCCAACUUUGCUCUCAUACAAAUCCUUUUGAGCUCUAAGCUAUCAGCACCCACGGACGGACGUUCUGUGUAUUUGUCAUUCACGUACUCAAACUUCUGCUACGUCAAAGGAGCUGAAUCCAAAAACGUACAGUUAAAACUAUUUUGUUCAUGAGUUGGCUUUGAUGCAAAGUGUGCUGCAGUUGCAAUGACCGUGUCCAUCGGUUGUGGCGGGCCCUGGAGCUCCCAGAGCUGCAAGAAGAAAAACCUCUUGGUUGCUGCCCCCGUCCUGCUUCUCACUGAGCUGCGCGUCCCCUUCCCACCUUCCUCCAGUCACACGUCCCCUAGGGGCUGCAAUUCACAGCCGGAGAACUUUCCGAAAUCCAAAGGCCAUAGACCUAAGAGGUGGCGUUUGCUCAUACGGUGCCCCUUCAUGCUCCUGUCUGCAGGAAGAGGCAUCACUGGGUGCCCCUGAAAGGCCACUCUGGAGCCCUGGGGCUCCAAUCAACCCAUUCAUUAAGCUGCCUCUAACAAAAUCGGACCCCAGUGUCCAUGACAUAAAAGACCAGCAGGAGCUCUGUUUUUAAUUAGUCCACAUCCAUGUUUGUUUUGGCCCAUCCCCUGUAUUUAAAAAAUUAAUGAUUAAGAAGGUUCAUUGUUUUUAACCAUUUGUUUUACUUAUCCUAUGGAAGAUAAUGAAUGUGAAACAGUUAUUUCUGCUCUUCUAAACCUGUUCUAAUUCCAAGCCUUAAAAAAAUAUUGCAUGUUACUAUGGGAAAUUCAGAUAUAGAUAAAGCCCUCUCAUUUAAAUUUGAUCCUAGACAUUUUUACUCUAAUCCUAGAAUAUUCCCUUCAUCUUCCAGCAUUCUUUUUUUCUGCAAGUGUCUUUUUAUAUUCCUUUAAACAUUACAGAGCUUGACAAUACGAACUCUUGCUAUUGAAUUGGAAUUUUAUUAUGAAAUGCACAAAAGGGAUUAAAAAAUAAAUCUGUGAGAAUAUAAAUAAUUUUCAAAACAUGAUUUUUGCUCUUCCUGCAUUAAUAAUAACAUACUGGGCACUUAAAAUGAGAACAUUAAAUAUUCUUCCCAUUUGUAUUCCUUGUUCUGUUUACUUUUUGAAUUUUGCUUGGUUGUGACAAUGACAAGAUACUCGAAAGUUUCUGUUUAUAUUACGAUCAGGUUCCAAUAAAAUCACUAUGCAGCUGUAUGCUGCUUUGUUUGUGUUAUAAGCACGGCAGGGGAACAUUUCCAUUUUAUUUUUACUUAGACUUUAUUUCUACUGAGUGUCUGUUUUGAUUUAAAAAAACAAAUCUUUAAAAAAAACCUUGAUUCGAGGAGGGCUCUUGAAGGGUGGAAGAAGGGACACAGAGGGCUGUUGGAGAAAGGAAGAAGGCCCAGGUUUUGAGAGGUUUUGUUACGGAUACUUCUGGGAAACUGAACAAAGCAAUGAAGACACACGCUUGUGGUGCACGUGCGGGGGGCUUCAUCCGGGGCUGGGAAGUCCCCGUGCCAUCUGGCUUGGUAUGGACCCUGACCCACACCUCCUUCUUGCUCCCUCUCCCCCUUCUGCAAUUAAAGUUCCUCAAAACCGA